rnacentral:lncRNA from 1 species
GCCCGGUGUGCGCGCCCCGCCCCCGCGCCCAGCGCGAACGAGCUCUGGAGAGACAGUGGCUGCGAGAAUAUUGAAAUUUGUGAAUAUCUUCUGGCUCCUAAUUUUGCACCCCUGGCAAUUAUGCAGAAGAUGAUCAGAAAUGGAAAAAGAGCAGGAGGGUACCCAGGGCUUUGUGAAUAGGCUGGAGUGCAAUGCCGUGAUCUUGGCUCACCACAACCUCCGCCUCCCGGGUUCAAGCGAUUCUCCUGCCUCAGCCUCCGGAGUAGCUGGGAUUACCAAGUAGCUGGGAUUACAGGCAUGCGCUACCAUGCCAGGAUUUUCGCCAUGUUGCCUACACUAGUCUCAAACCCCUGGGCUCAUGUGAUCCUCCUACCUCGGCCUCCCAAAGUGCUGGAAUUAAAGGUGUAAGCCACCGUGCCCAUCCAGUUGACAAAGUUUAUUUCUUUUUUUUUCUUUUGAGAGAGAGUUUCACUGUUGUUGCCCAGGCUGGAGUGCAGUGGCGUGAACUUGGCUCACUGCAACCUCUGCCCCCCAGGUUCAAGCCAUUCUCCUGCCUCAGCUUCCUGAAUAGCUGGGAUUACAGGCAUGUGCCACAACACCUGGCUAAUUUUGUGUUUUUAGUAGAGACGGGGUUUCUCCAUGUUGGUCAGGCUGGUCUCGAACUCCCAGACUCAGGUAAUCCUCCCGCCUCAGCCUCCCAAAGUGCUGGGAUUACAGGCAUGAGCCACUGCGCCUGGCCGACAAAGUGUAUUUCAAACACUGCGGAGAAUUGUUGUGGUCUUAAUUCAUUUGGGGUAAUCGGUAUUGUCAUUCUCAUUGUCCUCUUGUGAGGAGGAAUUAGGAACUUAUGUCUCUCUAGGGAGGCUACAGUUUUCCUUUUGGGGACCAUUGUAGUAGAGAAUUCUCACAUUCACACAUUUCAUUUCCCUAAAGUUAGUCACCGGCCCAUGUGGGUAAUCUCUAAAGAGGACAACAAGUAUUUAGCAGUUAUUUCAGAGAUAAUUUUCUGCCAGCAAAUAUGGGAAACUUGCAUGCAUUUUUGAACUCUGCCUCUUCACAUCUAUUUAGAGAAAUGUUCCCAAGUCUUUGUAGGCAUCUGAGAAGCCAAAAUCCCCAGGCAUUUCCCACAGGGCAGGAUCGGUUGUCGUUUUGAGUGGGUAGCGAUGGGCUGGGUGGCCUAUUAAGUGAAAACAUGGUGAUCUGUGCACCCACAAUGCCUAGGCCCUGCAGACACAAAUGCCCAACUUGUUGACCUGUGACUCAGACUUAGACCCGAAAAGGAGAUGUUAUAUACACUCUGUUCUUUAUUGAAAUAAUCCAGCUUGAAUGAGUUGGCUGGAAAUAUAGGAUUUGUAGGAAUAAACGGUCUUCCACAUCAACAUAAUGGAAUUCAGUUGAGAGGAAUAUUACUGGGGAUGUAAAUAUGCUUUAAACACAGGCUCGCGGUGGCUCACACCUGAAAUUCCAGCACUUCCGGAAGCUGAGGCAGGCGAUCACUUGAGGUCGGGAGUUGGAGACCAGCCUGGCCAACAUGGCGAAACCACAUCUCUACUAAAAGUACAAAAAAAUUAGCUGGCUAUGGUGGUAUGUGCCUGCAAUCCUAGCUACUCGGGAGGAUGAGGCAGGAGAAUCGCUUGAACCCAGGAGGCGGAGGUUGCAGUGAGCCGAGAUCGUGCCAUUACACUCCAGCCUGGGAGACAGAGCAGCACUCCGUCUCAAAAAAAAAAAAAAAAAAAAAGAAAAGAAAAGAAAAAAAAAAGAGGCUGGGUGCCAUGGCUCACACCUGUAAUCCCAUCACCUUGGGAGAAGUUUCUCUUAAGCCCAGGAGUUUGAGACCAGCCUGGGCAACAUGGAGAAACCCUGUCUCUACAAAAUAUACAAAAAUUAGCAGGGCGUGGUGGUGCAUGCCUGUAGUCCCAGCUACUCAGGAGGCUGAGAUGGGAGGAUCACUUAAGCCUAGGAGAUUGAGGCUGCAGUGGGCUAUGGUUGUGCCACUGCACUCCAGUCUGGGCAACAGAGCAAGACCCUGUCUCAAAAAAAUAAAAAAAAGAAAAGAAUAAAAGUGUUACAACAAUGCCAGCACUGUACUGGAAGACAGUAAUCAAAGAAGUAAAACUGUAUCUAUUCACAGAUGAUGUGAUUUUAUAGAUACGAAAUCCUGAAGAACACACACACACACACACACAUACACACACAAACUUAUUAGAGCUAAUACAUUCCACAAAAUUAGCAUCCAUGAUCAACACACAAAAACCUCUUACUUGUAUUUCUGUACACUGGCAACGAACAACCCAAAAAUGAAAUUAAAAACAUUCUCGGCCAGAUGCAGUGGCUUACGCCUAUAAUCCCAGCAUUUUGGGAGGCUGAGGCGAGCAGAUUGCCUGAGGUCAGGAGUUCGAGACCAUCCUGGCCAACAUGGUGAACCUCUGUCUCUACUGAAAAUAAAAAAAUUAGCCAGGCGUGGUGGCAGGUGCCUGUAAUCCCAGCUACUCAGCAGGCUGAGACAGGAGAAUCACUUGUACCCGGGAAGCGGAGGUUGCAGUGAGCCGAGAUUGUGCCAUUGCACUGCAGCCUGGGCGACAAGAGUGAGACUUUGUCUCAACAACAACAACAAAAAAAUUAUCAGGCAGACCCCCUGAGUACAAACAAAAAAUUUUUUUUUUGAGACGGAGUCUCACUCUGUCGCCCAGGCUGUAGUGCAGUGGCGCGAUCUCGGCUCACUGCAAGCUCUGCCUCCCGGG